rnacentral:rRNA from 1 species
AUUGAACGCUGGCGGCAUGCCUUACACAUGCAAGUCGAACGGUAACGGGCCUUCGGGUGCCGACGAGUGGCGAGCGGGUGCGUAAUACAACGGAACGUGCCCGAUCGUGGUGGGUAACGGAGCGAAAGCUUUGCUAAUACCGCAUACGAUCUACGGUUUAAAACAGGGUACCGCAAUGCUUUGCGCGGGCUGUGCUGCCGAUGGCAGAUUAGGUAGUUGGUGGGAUAAAAGCUUACCAAGCCGACGAUCUGUAGCUGGUCUGAGAGGAUGAUCAGCCACACUGGGACUGAGACACGGCCCAGACUCCUACGGGAGGCAGCAGUGGGGAAUUUUGGACAAUGGGCGCAAGCCUGAUCCAGCCAUGCCGCGUGCAGGAUGAAGGCCUUCGGGUUGUAAACUGCUUUUGUACGGAACGAAAAGCCUUCUUUUAAUACAGGAGGGUCAUGACGGUACCGUAAGAAUAAGCACCGGCUAACUACGUG